GCUGACGGCCGGCUCUCUCCUUUCCCUGCGGCUCACCAGGGCAGAAGCAGCUCCCCGCCGCUGGGACCCCCGCGGGGUUUGUCGCCGAGCGAAGGUGGCGCGGCAGCUGAAGGGAGGAAAGCUGCAGCUGGCGUGCUGCAGUCGCAGGUUUCCCAGGAGAAAGAGCAGCCCGUCUGUCCAGCUUUCAGAGUUGUCCUAGAAAUAAACCGGUGCUUGCGGGGCUUUCCAGAACGCUGGUUGUGGUCGGUCAAGACAGACGUGAGAGGCAAUUUCUGCCUGUCUGUCUGUCUAUUGGUUAUGUCCCGAGAGUUUUGCUUGAACUGUGUGCAACAAAAGAAGCCUUGGGCCCGUACUGAGCAGCGAGAGAAAGCAAAACUCCAGAGGGAAUGAUAGAGACGUCCCUGGUUCAGCCUUUUUUGCCACAGUCAUUGCAGAAAUGUUGGAAAAAAGACUUACUUCAGCAUCAAAUAAACCCCGUGCGAAGCGUCCCUGACUCAUGCCAGUGGGACCAUCCCGUUGUGGCUGGUAAAAUCCAGGAACAGGACGAUGCUUGGAGGAACGUAACCUAUGGAGGAGCAGGCAACAGUCUCCUGUUAGGCAACAGGCUUGUGUGCGUGCGUUUGGCUUGUCCCGAUGGCUGGUGUAGAUGA
rnacentral:lncRNA from 1 species